rnacentral:rRNA from 1 species
AAACCAACUGGGAUUACCUUAGUAACGGCGAGUGAAGCGGUAAAAGCUCAAAUUUGAAAUCUGGUACUUUCAGUGCCCGAGUUGUAAUUUGUAGAAUUUGUCUUUGAUUAGGUCCUUGUCUAUGUUCCUUGGAACAGGACGUCAUAGAGGGUGAGAAUCCCGUUUGGCGAGGAUACCUUUUCUCUGUAAGACUUUUUCGAAGAGUCGAGUUGUUUGGGAAUGCAGCUCAAAGUGGGUGGUAAAUUCCAUCUAAAGCUAAAUAUUGGCGAGAGACCGAUAGCGAACAAGUACAGUGAUGGAAAGAUGAAAAGAACUUUGAAAAGAGAGUGAAAAAGUACGUGAAAUUGUUGAAAGGGAAGGGCAUUUGAUCAGACAUGGUGUUUUUUAAAUGUGCAAGUCUCUCGUGGACAUGUGCCUCUGGAAAUUAACACUGGGCCAACAUCAGUUCUGGCGGCAGGAUAAAUCAUUAAGAAUGUAGCUACCUCGGUAGUGUUAUAGCUUUUGGAAUACUGCC